AUCCAUAUAUUCUAAAUUUAAGUGCUGGAUUCUUACUUCAGUGAUGUGAUUUUAUCACUAUGGGUU
rnacentral:tRNA from 1 species